UACGACCAUAUCACGUUAAAAUUCCGGUUCUCGUCCGAUCUACAAAGUUAAGCAUUUUCGAGUCUGGUCUUUAGCUAGAUGGGUGACCACUUGGGAAUAGCAAGUGCUGUAUG